CGCUGAAAGCCUGGUGCUUGCACCGGGUGGAUGAGUGGCGAACGGGUGAGUAACACGUGAGUAACCUGCCCCUGACUUCGGGAUAAGCCCGGGAAACUGGGUCUAAUACCGGAUACGACUGCCGGACGCAUGUCUGGUGGUGGAAAGUUUUUUCGGUUGGGGAUGGGCUCGCGGCCUAUCAGUUUGUUGGUGAGGUAAUGGCUCACCAAGACGACGACGGGUAGCCGGCCUGAGAGGGCGACCGGCCACACUGGGACUGAGACACGGCCCAGACUCCUACGGGAGGCAGCAGUGGGGAAUAUUGCACAAUGGGGGAAACCCUGAUGCAGCGACGCAGCGUGCGGGAUGACGGCCUUCGGGUUGUAAACCGCUUUCAGCAGGGAAGAAGCGCAAGUGACGGUACCUGCAGAAGAAGUACCGGCUAACUACGUGCCAGCAGCCGCGGUAAUACGUAGGGUACGAGCGUUGUCCGGAAUUAUUGGGCGUAAAGAGCUCGUAGGUGGUUGGUCACGUCUGCUGUGGAAACGCAACGCUUAACGUUGCGCGUGCAGUGGGUACGGGCUGACUAGAGUGCAGUAGGGGAGUCUGGAAUUCCUGGUGUAGCGGUGAAAUGCGCAGAUAUCAGGAGGAACACCGGUGGCGAAGGCGGGACUCUGGGCUGUAACUGACACUGAGGAGCGAAAGCAUGGGGAGCGAACAGGAUUAGAUACCCUGGUAGUCCAUGCCGUAAACGUUGGGCACUAGGUGUGGGGGGCAUUCCACGUUCUCCGCGCCGUAGCUAACGCAUUAAGUGCCCCGCCUGGGGAGUACGGUCGCAAGGCUAAAACUCAAAGGAAUUGACGGGGGCCCGCACAAGCGGCGGAGCAUGCGGAUUAAUUCGAUGCAACGCGAAGAACCUUACCAAGGCUUGACAUACACCGGACCGUCCUGGAAACAGGUCCUCUUCUUUGAAGCUGGUGUACAGGUGGUGCAUGGUUGUCGUCAGCUCGUGUCGUGAGAUGUUGGGUUAAGUCCCGCAACGAGCGCAACCCUCGUUCUAUGUUGCCAG
rnacentral:rRNA from 1 species